rnacentral:rRNA from 1 species
AGUCUUACACUCCCGGGAAGGGGGUGUGGCGGACGGCUGAGUAACACGUGGCUAACCUACCCUAAGGAGGUGGAUAACCCCGGGAAACUGGGGAUAAUCCACCAUAGGCGAGGAUUCCUGGAACGGUUCCUCGCUGAAAGGCCCAUAGGCUGUUCCCGUCUAUGGGCGCCUUAGGAUGGGGCUGCGGCCUAUCAGGUAGUUGGGGGAGUAAAGGUCCCCCAAGCCGAUAACGGGUAGGGGCCGUGAUAGCGGGAGCCCCCAGUUGGGCACUGAGACAAGGGCCCAGGCCCUACGGGGUGCACCAGGCGCGAAACGUCCCCAAUGCGCGAAAGCGUGAGGGCGCUACCCCGAGUGCUCCCGUAAGGGAGCUUUUCCUCACUCUAAAAAGGUGAGGGAAUAAGCGGGGGGCAAGUCUGGUGUCAGCCGCCGCGGUAAUACCAGCUCCGCGAGUGGUCGGGACUAUUACUGGGCCUAAAGCGCCCGUAGCCGGCCCGGUAAGUCAUCCCUUAAAGACCCCGGCUCAACCGGGGGAAUGGGGGUGAUACUACCGGGCUAGGGGGCGGGAGAGGCCAGCGGUACUCCCGGAGUAGGGGCGAAAUCCUCAGAUCCUGGGAGGACCACCAGUGGCGAAAGCGGCUGGCUAGAACGCGCCCGACGGUGAGGGGCGAAAG